GCUUUAGUAGCUCAGUUGGUAGAGCGCUCGACCGAUAAUCGAGGUGUCACAAGUUCAAGUCUUGUCUAAAGCACCA
rnacentral:tRNA from 1 species